GAUGAACGCUGGCGGCGUGCCUAAUACAUGCAAGUCGAGCGAACAGAUGAGGAGCUUGCUCCUCUGACGUUAGCGGCGGACGGGUGAGUAACACGUGGAUAACCUACCUAUAAGACUGGGAUAACUUCGGGAAACCGGAGCUAAUACCGGAUAAUAUAUUGAACCGCAUGGUUCAAUAGUGAAAGACGGUUUUGCUGUCACUUAUAGAUGGAUCCGCGCCGCAUUAGCUAGUUGGUAAGGUAACGGCUUACCAAGGCGACGAUGCGUAGCCGACCUGAGAGGGUGAUCGGCCACACUGGAACUGAGACACGGUCCAGACUCCUACGGGAGGCAGCAGUAGGGAAUCUUCCGCAAUGGGCGAAAGCCUGACGGAGCAACGCCGCGUGAGUGAUGAAGGUCUUCGGAUCGUAAAACUCUGUUAUUAGGGAAGAACAAAUGUGUAAGUAACUAUGCACGUCUUGACGGUACCUAAUCAGAAAGCCACGGCUAACUA
rnacentral:rRNA from 1 species